rnacentral:tRNA from 2 species
GCCGGGAUGGCGAAAUGGCAUACGCUCAGGACUUAAAAUCCUGCGACCGCAAGGUCAUGAGGGUCCGACUCCCUCUCCCGGCACCA